CACACCUGCACCAACGCCAUUUCCGUGCCUGGAUAGAUCGUAGGUCUACGAGGUAGCAUCGAAUGGCUCUCCCGUAGGAAGGGUAGAGCCUCCAUGUGGCGGCCUCCAGAUCGCAACUCCGAUUCUUCUUCCCACCCCGCGGUGAGACCCGCCCCAACCCCUUUCUUCUCCCUCUCUAUCCAUCCUCGACCCCUCUCUCGUAAUUAGGAAGGACAGAGCUCAACCAAGGCGCUCCCCUCAGCAGGCACAUCGACAGACCGAAUUUUGGCGAAGAGAACGCUUGGAGCACCUCUAUCCCCUCCACAAUGGAGGCCAGGUACACGGCAACCGUGCUAGGGAACAACACUGAUUUGAUGUCGUUUUGGAGGAUCUACGCCCUCGUGGCAUGCUUGGUGGCCGGACUUGCCCUCACCUCUAUCCCCUCUAGGCCUCCGUGAUGGAGGCUGGGUACUCAGCGGCCAUGGCAUGCUUGGUGGCCGGAUCCUGUAAUGUUUAUAGUGUUCCAUUUUGUUGAUCCAAGCCACCAAUGGAGUAAAAGCUGGAGUAUUUUUUCCAAUUGGUUAUACGUGUCAGUUUUCUUGUUUCUGUGCUGAGAUACUGGUGAACCUGUAGGUGCCUGAGUCAUUUUGGGGCAUUCUAAUCGUAGAGCUCUGUUGGGGUGAAUCCAGUGAUGUGAGUACCUUUUAAACUAUCAUGGUAUGAUUUAUAUUCUCUAUUGACAACUCACAUUUUUGUGCUAUUUUGCUUGAUGCUUGGAAGAAUCUGUUGUUUGGUUUA